UCUUCUUCUUCUCCUUCUUUUUUUCUUAUUCUCUUUAUUCUUCUUUUCUCCUUCUUCUUCUUCUUCUUAUCCCUCUUCUUCUUCUUAUUCUCCUCCUCCUUCUUCUACUUCACCUUCUUGUUCUUCUUCGCCUCCUCCUCCUUCUUCUUCUUCUCCUUCUCCUUCUUCUUCUUCUCCUUCUUCUUCUUCUUACCUAAUUAUCCUCUAAAAUGACAUAAAUCUUAGUUAGGUUAGAGAUGGCAUUAGAACCUUG
rnacentral:lncRNA from 1 species